rnacentral:rRNA from 1 species
GACUAGAGCCAUACCACCCUGAAAACACCCAUCUCAUCUGAUCUCAGGAGCUAAGCAGGAUUAAACUUCACACAAAAAGAAAAUCCAGGGGCUGGUGAGAUGGCUCAGUGGUCU